UACAGAGGUCUCAAGCGUUGUUCGGAUUCAUUGGGCGUAAAGGGUGCGUAAGGCGGCGCGGUAAGUCGGGGUGUGGAAAUCAUCGGAGCUUAACUCCGAAACUGCAUUCGAUACUGCCGUGCUUGAGGACUGGAGAGGAGACUGGAAUUUACGGUGUAGCGGUGAAAUGCGUAGAUAUCGUAAGGAAGACCAGUGGCGAAGGCGGGUCUCUGGACAGUUCCUGACGCUGAGGCACGAAAGCUAGGGGAGCAAACGGG
rnacentral:rRNA from 1 species